rnacentral:misc_RNA from 1 species
UUUCUUUCAGCUUCCAUAAGAUCCGUAGCUGAUGCUAGGGUGGGUGACACCAUAACACACUUCCAGAGAAAAGCAGAACAAUCAUUACCGGGAUACAAGGAGGCUACUCCAAUGGUUUUUUGUGGCUUGUUCCCUGUUGAUGCCGACCAGUUUAGUGAGCUACGUGAUGCGUUGGAGAAAUUGCAACUUAAUGAUGCUGCAUUGAAGUUUGAG